rnacentral:rRNA from 1 species
UACGUAGGGUGCAAGCGUUAAUCGGAAUUACUGGGCGUAAAGCGUGCGCAGGCGGUUUUGUAAGUCAGAUGUGAAAUCCCCGGGCUUAACCUGGGAAUGGCAUUUGGGACUGCAAGGCUGGAGUUUGGCAGAGGAGACUGGAAUUCCUGGUGUAGCAGUGAAAUGCGUAGAUAUCAGGAGGAAUACCGAUGGCGAAGGCAGGUCUCUGGGCUGAAACUGACGCUCAUGCACGAAAGCGUGGGGAGCAAACAGG